UAUGUAGGGUGCAAGCGUUGUCCGGAAUUAUUGGGCGUAAAGAGCUCGUAGGCGGUCUGUCACGUCGGCUGUGAAAUCCCGAGGCUCAACCUCGGGUCUGCAGUCGAUACGGGCAAACUAGAGUAUUGCAGGGGAGACUGGAAUUCCUGGUGUAGCGGUGAAAUGCGCAGAUAUCAGGAGGAACACCGGUGGCGAAGGCGGGUCUCUGGGCAAUAACUGACGCUGAGGAGCGAAAGCGUGGGGAGCGAACAGG
rnacentral:rRNA from 1 species